GAUGAAGAACGUAGCGAAAUGCGAUAAGUAAUGUGAAUUGCAGAAUUCAGUGAAUCAUCGAAUCUUUGAACGCAUCUUGCGCUCCUUGGUAUUCCGAGGAGCAUGCCUGUUUGAGUGUCAUUAAAUUCUCAACUCUCCUAUACUUUGUUGUAAAGGAGGGCUUGGAUUGUGGAGGCUUGCUGGCCGCUUGAUGUGGUCAGCUCCUCUGAAAUGCAUUAGCAGAACUGUUUGCGAUCUGCCACAAGUGUGAUAAAUUAUCUACACUGUCGAGGGGAUUGCUCUCUGUGUUCGGCUUCUAAUCGUCUUCAGUGACAAUUUCUUGAAUGCUUGACCUCAAAUCAGGUAGGACUACCCGCUGAACUUAAGCAUAUCAAUAAGCGGAGGA
rnacentral:misc_RNA from 1 species